GACGAACGCUGGCGGCGUGCUUAACACAUGCAAGUCGAGCGGUAAGGCCCUUUCGGGGGGUACACGAGCGGCGAACGGGUGAGUAACACGUGGGUGACCUGCCCUCAGCUCUGGGAUAAGCCUGGGAAACCGGGUCUAAUACUGGAUAUGACUCCAUGACGCAUGUUGUGGGGUGAAAGCCUUGUGCGGCUGAGGAUGGGCCCGCGGCCUAUCAGCUUGUUGGUGGGGUGANGGCCUACCAAGGCGACGACGGGUACGCCGGCCUGAGAGGGCGACCGGCACACUGGGACUGAGACACGGCCCAGACUCCUAC
rnacentral:rRNA from 1 species